GAACUCCAUUCCGUAAGCCUGUCCAUCCUCCUUGCAAAGGAAACAUUGAUGUGGUACUUCAAACCCUGAACUGUCAAACUUUCCCUUCAUUAUUCCACAGGCAAAUGAACUGAAGAAGGUGACUGGCUCUUUUCAUUCUGCCCUGAAUCAUCACUGUCAUAAGCAGCCACAAUCUUUUGCUCUGUGAAUAUUUGCUUAAGAGGCUGUGGUCUUGUUCUAAGUCAUUUAAGAAAUGAACAAAGGAACAACUUAUAUGGGAGAUUAAUGAGUGUAAGGGACUUUGGUAAUAUGGUGACACACCCCCAGUUAUCUGGCCACUGCAGGCACCUCAGCUGUGAAGAUGGAAGAGAAGAAGUAAUCCCUACGAACGGCAGCUGAAAAUUUCUUCAGGAAACUUCCCAAUAACAGGGCCAUGAAUAUGAAGGUAAUUAAGGAUGGCCUCUACAUCCA
rnacentral:lncRNA from 1 species